GGUUCCAUGGUGUAGUGGUUAUCACAUCUGCUACACUCAGAAGGUCCUGGGUUCAAUUCCCAGUGGAAGCA
rfam:Sus scrofa chromosome 17.